GACGAACGCUGGCGGCGUGCCUAAUACAUGCAAGUCGUGCGGACCUUUUAAAAGCUUGCUUUUAAAAGGUUAGCGGCGGACGGGUGAGUAACACGUGGGCAACCUGCCUGUAAGACUGGGAUAACGCCGGGAAACCGGGGCUAAUACCAGAUCGUUUUUUCCUCCGCAUGGAGGAAAAAGGAAAGGCGGCUUCGGCUGCCACUUACCGAUGGGCCCGCGGCGCAUUAGCUAGUUGGCGGGGUAACGGCCCACCAAGGCAACGAUGCGUAGCCGACCUGAGAGGGUGAUCGGCCACAUUGGGACUGAGACACGGCCCAAACUCCUACGGGAGGCAGCAGUAGGGAAUCUUCCGCAAUGGACGAAAGUCUGACGGAGCAACGCCGCGUGAGUAAAGAAGGCCUUCGGGUCGUAAAACUCUGUUGCCGGGGAAGAACAAGUGCCGUUCGAACAGGGCGGCGCCUUGACGGUACCCGGCCAGAAAGCCACGGCUAACUACGUG
rnacentral:rRNA from 1 species